CCGAAAAUCGACGAUUUUCCAAAAAUCACUGUAUAAACAUAGCUUGCCCAAAUUCUAAUGGUAAUAUUAGAGAAAUUACUGAAUAUUUUAGAUUCAUUGCGUUUGGACCAAAAAUCGACGAUUUUCCAGAAAUCACUGUAUAAACAUGGCUUGCACG